UCUAUCCCCUUCCCUCCAUCCAUCUCAACAUCUCGCAUCUACUCUUCCUCCAUCUUUCAUCUCAUCUUCUUCCAUCCCUUUGAUUUCCUCUCAACCAAACGAGGACUCUUCUCAUUAGAUUUUCUUGCCGUCAAGCGAACUCAAAACUCCAGCCAACUCUCAAUCAACGUGAAAUAUUCUCUCUUCUUUGGUGAAUACUAUUAAUAUUAAAGAGGAUGUUUGGGGAAUACUCAGAGAAUGACACAGUGAACAUUGAGCAAUAGCGGAUGUUUUUGAAAGAUGUUCAAAGAGAAGAUAACAGAAAAGCUUAGGCCAUCUUCAACAAUUUCAAGCACCUCAAUUUCUUUUAGAGAAGAGGCCUUCAUCUAGAAGAAUUCUUCUAUUAUCUUCUUGAUCAAGACCUUAAUCUUGCUCUCUCUCCCUUCCAUGGGUUGAUUACGGAUGAGUCCAGCAAAUUGUUUUCGAAUAAUAUUCAAGCGACGAAAGGUGAAGCAUGUUACAAGCAAUGGAGAAUAGAAUUGAAACAGGUUGGCAAUCUGCAGAGCAGAGACAUGUACAAUCAUGUGGACUUUCUAAGAGAAUUGAGUUAGUCGUUACAUCCCCUGAUUCAGGCUGCAUUUAAAGAAACAAAACAAUCAAAGAGCGGGGGAUAAGGAAAUUGAAUCCCUCAAAUAUGAAGUUAAGGUUAUAUUCCUUACUGUCAGGUGAUUGGGCUAAAAGUUAAGUGAUCGUGUAGAUACCUAGACGAUCAGGUAGAAAGCUAAGCGAUCGUUAAAUGUUGAAGACUGUGAAGACGUUUAAGAUUUCUUAUUUAAGUCUAGUAUUAGGGUCUUGUUUCAUGUACUGUUGUAGAAUGUAUAUAUAAAGACAAUAUUAAGAUUUCAUUUUGUAUAUAAAAAUGUAAAAGACAAAAUAUUUAUUGAUUAAUUAUUGUGGAAGAUAAUUAAUUA